GAUGAACGCUGGCGGCGUGCCUAAUACAUGCAAGUCGAGCGAACGGACGAGAAGCUUGCUUCUCUGAUGUUAGCGGCGGACGGGUGAGUAACACGUGGAUAACCUACCUAUAAGACUGGGAUAACUUCGGGAAACCGGAGCUAAUACCGGAUAAUAUUUUGAACCGCAUGGUUCAAAAGUGAAAGACGGUCUUGCUGUCACUUAUAGAUGGAUCCGCGCUGCAUUAGCUAGUUGGUAAGGUAACGGCUUACCAAGGCAACGAUGCAUAGCCGACCUGAGAGGGUGAUCGGCCACACUGGAACUGAGACACGGUCCAGACUCCUACGGGAGGCAGCAGUAGGGAAUCUUCCGCAAUGGGCGAAAGCCUGACGGAGCAACGCCGCGUGAGUGAUGAAGGUCUUCGGAUCGUAAAACUCUGUUAUUAGGGAAGAACAUAUGUGUAAGUAACUGUGCACAUCUUGACGGUACCUAAUCAGAAAGCCACGGCUAACUACGUGCCAGCAGCCGCGGUAAUACGUAGGUGGCAAGCGUUAUCCGGAAUUAUUGGGCGUAAAGCGCGCGUAGGCGGUUUUUUAAGUCUGAUGUGAAAGCCCACGGCUCAACCGUGGAGGGUCAUUGGAAACUGGAAAACUUGAGUGCAGAAGAGGAAAGUGGAAUUCCAUGUGUAGCGGUGAAAUGCGCAGAGAUAUGGAGGAACACCAGUGGCGAAGGCGACUUUCUGGUCUGUAACUGACGCUGAUGUGCGAAAGCGUGGGGAUCAAACAGGAUUAGAUACCCUGGUAGUCCACGCCGUAAACGAUGAGUGCUAAGUGUUAGGGGGUUUCCGCCCCUUAGUGCUGCAGCUAACGCAUUAAGCACUCAGCCUGGGGAGUACGACCGCAAGGUUGAAACUCAAAGGAAUUGACGGGGACCCGCACAAGCGGUGGAGCAUGUGGUUUAAUUCGAAGCAACGCGAAGAACCUUACCAAAUCUUGACAUCCUUUGACAACUCUAGAGAUAGAGCCUUCCCCUUCGGGGGACAAAGUGACAGGUGGUGCAUGGUUGUCGUCAGCUCGUGUCGUGAGAUGUUGGGUUAAGUCCCGCAACGAGCGCAACCCUUAAGCUUAGUUGCCAUCAUUAAGUUGGGCACUCUAAGUUGACUGCCGGUGACAAACCGGAGGAAAGUGGGGAUGACGUCAAAUCAUCAUGCCCCUUAUGAUUUGGGCUACACACGUGCUACAAUGGACAAUACAAAGGGCAGCGAAACCGCGAGGUCAAGCAAAUCCCAUAAAGUUGUUCUCAGUUCGGAUUGUAGUCUGCAACUCGACUACAUGAAGCUGGAAUCGCGAGUAAUCGUAGAUCAGCAUGCUACGGUGAAUACGUUCCCGGGUCU
rnacentral:rRNA from 1 species